rnacentral:lncRNA from 1 species
UUGAGGGACAUGAGUGACCUAUAUGGAAUUUGCCCAUCCUACGUAAUAGGAUAAAUGUCUAAGGGCCCAAUAUUGAAAUGGACAAGGAUGACACAGUCUAUGCCUUGUGUUCAAUAUAGACAUAAGGGCAAAAGGGUAAUUGUACACACAAGUAUUAUCACAAAAAGGAUUUGUCAUAUCAUAUGACAUUUUAGUGUCUUGGAUAGCAGUGAUGUGUUGCUAAAUACUGCUCACUAUUUA